UACGUAGGGUGCGAGCGUUGUCCGGAAUCACUGGGCGUAAAGCGCACGUAGGCGGACUCUUAAGUCGGUGGUGAAAUCCUGGAGCUCAACUCCAGAACUGCCUUCGAUACUGGGAGUCUCGAGUUCGGGAGAGGUGAGUGGAACUGCGAGUGUAGAGGUGAAAUUCGUAGAUAUUCGCAAGAACACCAGUGGCGAAGGCGGCUCACUGGCCCGAUACUGACGCUGAGGUGCGAAAGCGUGGGGAGCAAACAGG
rnacentral:rRNA from 1 species